CAGUAGCUGAGUGGAUAACGCAAUGGCGUUUGAAGCGAAAAGUACUGGGUUCGAGUCCCAGAGUGAA
rnacentral:tRNA from 11 species